CCGAUCCAAAUCCUAUAGCACAAUACAAAUCAAACUGACCCAUUAAUAUUUCCAAUCUGCUGCUCCUGGUGCAGAGUAUAUCAAGUGGCAACUUCGAUGUGAUCACUCACUGGAUCUCCUUAAGAAAGCAAAUAAACCUAAACUCGCAGCUAAUGCAGCACCAGCUGCUACAGCGGUAUAGGCUGAAGCCCAUGCAGUUUCUGGAUGAGCAUAAUCCAAAC
rnacentral:lncRNA from 1 species